AUACGAAGGGGGCUAGCGUUGUUCGGAAUUACUGGGCGUAAAGCGCGCGUAGGCGGAUUGGUCAGUUAGGGGUGAAAUCCCAGGGCUUAACCCUGGAACUGCCUCUAAUACUGCCAGUCUUGAGUUCGGGAGAGGUGAGUGGAAUUCCUAGUGUAGAGGUGAAAUUCGUAGAUAUUAGGAAAAACACCAGUGGCGAAGGUGGCUCACUGGCCCGAUACUGACGCUGAGGCGCGAAAGCGUGGGGAGCAAACAGGAUUAGAAACCCGGGUAGUCC
rnacentral:rRNA from 1 species